GCCGGGUGCGGGUGGGCGCGUGCCUGUUAAUCCAAGUUACUUUGGAGGUUGAGACUGGUGGAUCGUUGAGCUUCAGGAUCUCUGAGCUGUCAGUGGGACUAUGCUUGAGUCGGUGUCCCAAUAAGUUCGGUAUCGAUAUGGUGCUCCUGGGUGAGGCCGGGACACCAGCGUCGUCUAAGGAGGGAUGCACCGGCCCAGGUCGGAAAACGGGAGCAGGCCCAAAAGCCCCCGUGCCGCUCAGUAGUGGGAUCGCGCCUGUGAAUAGAGGCUGUAGUGAAGCCUCUGAGUAAUACAGCGGGACCCAGUCUUUU
rnacentral:SRP_RNA from 1 species